AGAGUUUGAUCAUGGCUCAGAUUGAACGCUGGCGGCAUGCCUAACACAUGCAAGUCGAACGGUAACAGGCCCUUCGGGGUGCUGACGAGUGGCAGACGGGUGAGCAAUACGUAGGAAUCUGCCCUGUAGUGGGGGAUAGCUCGGCGAAAGCCGGAUUAAUACCGCAUACGAUCUACGGAUGAAAGCGGGGGACCGUAAGGCCUCGCGCUAUAGGAUGAGCCUACGUCUGAUUAGCUAGUUGGUAGGGUAACGGCCUACCAAGGCGACGAUCAGUAGCUGGUCUGAGAGGAUGAUCAGCCACACCGGAACUGAGACACGGUCCGGACUCCUACGGGAGGCAGCAGUGGGGAAUAUUGGACAAUGGGGGAAACCCUGAUCCAGCAAUGCCGCGUGUGUGAAGAAGGCCUGCGGGUUGUAAAGCACUUUUGUUGGGGAAGAAAAGCCGUUGGAUAACACCCGGCGGUCUUGACGGUACCCAAAGAAUAAGCACCGGCUAACUCCGUGCCAGCAGCCGCGGUAAUACGGAGGGUGCGAGCGUUAAUCGGAAUUACUGGGCGUAAAGCGCGCGUAGGCGGUUUGAUAAGUCGGGUGUGAAAGCCCCGGGCUUAACCUGGGAAUUGCAUUCGAUACUGUCUGACUCGAGUCUGGGAGAGGGAAGCGGAAUUCCGGGUAGCGGUGAAAUGCGUAGAUAUCCGGAGGAACAUCAGUGGCGAAGGCGGCUUCCUGGCCUAAGACUGACGCUGAGGUGCGAAAGCGUGGGGAGCAAACAGGAUUAGAUACCCUAGUAGUCC
rnacentral:rRNA from 1 species